UUAUAUACCGCUUUACGGUGCUUUACAGUCCUCUCUAAGUGUCACAGAGUCAGCUUCUUGCCCCCAACAAUUUGGGUCCUCAUUUUACCCACCUCGGAAGGAUGGAAGAGGCUGAGUCAACCUUAAGCCUGGCGAGAUUCGACCUGCCAAAUAUCA